CUGCGAUAAGCGCCGGUAAGGUGAUAUGAACCGUUAUAACCGGCGAUACCCGAAUGGGGAAACCCAGUGUGACUCGUCACACUAUCAUUAACUGAAUCCAUAGGUUAAUGAGGCGAACCGGGGGAACUGAAACAUCUAAGUACCCCGAGGAAAAGAAAUCAACCGAGAUUCCCCCAGUAGCGGCGAGCGAACGGGGAGGAGCCCAGAGCCUGAAUCAGCAUGUGUGUUAGUGGAAGCGUCUGGAAAGGCGCGCGAUACAGGGUGACAGCCCCGUACACAAAAGCGCAUGUGCUGUGAGCUCGAUGAGUAGGGCGGGACACGUGGUAUCCUGUCUGAAUAUGGGGGGACCAUCCUCCAAGGCUAAAUACUCCUGACUGACCGAUAGUGAACCAGUACCGUGAGGGAAAGGCGAAAAGAACCCCGGCGAGGGGAGUGAAAAAGAACCUGAAACCGUGUACGUACAAGCAGUGGGAGCACCCUUUGGGUGUGACUGCGUACCUUUUGUAUAAUGGGUCAGCGACUUAUAUUCUGUAGCAAGGUUAACCGAAUAGGGGAGCCGGAGGG
rnacentral:rRNA from 1 species